rnacentral:rRNA from 1 species
AGACAGCAGCAGCCGCGGUAAUACGAAGGGUGCAAGCGUUACUCGGAAUUACUGGGCGUAAAGCGUGCGUAGGUGGUGGUUUAAGUCCGUUGUGAAAGCCCUGGGCUCAACCUGGGAAUUGCAGUGGAUACUGGGUCACUAGAGUGUGGUAGAGGAUAGUGGAAUUUCCGGUGUAGCAGUGAAAUGCGUAGAGAUCGGAAGGAACAUCUGUGGCGAAGGCGACUAUCUGGGCCAACACUGACACUGAGGCACGAAAGCGUGGGGAGCAAACAGGAUUAGAUACCCGCGUAGUCCCUGUCUCUUAUAA